ensembl:snRNA U1 U1 spliceosomal RNA
AUACUUACCUGGCAGGGGAGAUACCAUGAUCACAAAGGUGGGUUUCCCAGAGCGAGGCUUAUCCAUUGCACUCCAGAUGUGCUGACCCCUGCAAUAUCCCCAAAUGUGGGAAACUUGACUGCAUAAUUUGUGGUAGUGGGGGACUGCAUUCGAGCUCUCCCCUG